rnacentral:tRNA from 1 species
GCUCGUUUAGCUCAGCUGGUAGAGCAAUGGACUGUUAAUCCAUGUGUCGCAGGUUCAAAACCUGCAACGGGCG